AUCCAACAAAACCGUAAAAACGUUUAAAUCUAGAAUUACUCAAAAAAGCUAUAAAUUUCAGUCCACGAUUACUUGCCACUUUAAAAAUGUGAUAUAUUUACUUAAUUGUAGUUGUGACUAUCAAUAUGUGGGCAAAACAUCCAGAAGCCUAAGCACUAGGAUGGGCGAACAUAUUAGAAACAUCAAAAAUAGUUUUGUCAAUCAGUGUGUCUAAACAUGAAUCGGACCCAAGGUUUCUGGAGUUUCAUGCUAUAGAAAGGGUUAACAUACACUGAAGUGGUGGUAACAUUGCACAGAAUCUUAGCAGACAUGAAAUAAAG